rnacentral:piRNA from 1 species
UCAGGGCAUUUAUCUCUAGAAGGUCUCCAGA